AACGAACGCUGGCGGCAUGGAUUAGGCAUGCAAGUCGAACGCGUGUAGCAAUACACGAGUGGCGCAAGGGUGAGGAACACGUGAGUAAGCUGCCCUUUAGUUGGGAAUAACUCUACGAAAGUGGAGCUAAUACCGAAUGUGUCACACCACUCGCAUGUGUGGUGUGAUAAAGAUUUAUUGCUAAAGAGAAGCUCGCGUCUGUUUAGCUAGUUGGUGGGGUAAAGGCCUACCAAGGCGACGAUCAGUAGCUGGUCUGAGAGGAUGAUCAGCCACACUGGAACUGAGACACGGUCCAGACUCCUACGGGAGGCAGCAGUGAGGAAUUUUCUGCAAUGGGCGAAAGCCUGACAGAGCAAUACCGCGUGAGGGAUGAAGGCCUACGGGUUGUAAACCUCUUUUCUCAAGGAGGAAGAUCUGACGUUACUUGAGGAAUAAGCAUCGGCUAACCCUGUGCCAGCCGCCGCGGUAAUAC
rnacentral:rRNA from 1 species